CCAAAACACCGGCUCUCGUAUGAUCACCGAAAUUAAGCAACAUUGAGCUUGGUCAGUAUCUAGAUGGGUGACCGCUUGGUAAAACCAGGCGCU